rnacentral:rRNA from 1 species
AGAGUUUGAUCAUGGCUCAGAAUCAACGCUGGCGGCGCGCUUAACACAUGCAAGUCGCACGAGAAAGUGGAGCAAUCCAUGAGUAAAGUGGCGUACGGGUGAGUAACACGUGGAUCAUCUACCUCCUAGUGGGGAAUAACCCUGGGAAACCGGGGCUAAUACCGCAUAAGCCUGGAAAGGGAAAGCAGCAAUGCGCUGGGAGAGGAGUCCGCGGCCGAUUAGCUAGUUGGUAGGGUAAAGGCCUACCAAGGCAAUGAUCGGUAGCCGGCCUGAGAGGGCACACGGCCACACUGGCACUGAAACACGGGCCAGACUCCUACGGGAGGCAGCAGUGGGGAAUCUUGCACAAUGGGGGCAACCCUGAUGCAGCGACGCCGCGUGAGCGAUGAAGCCCUUCGGGGUGUAAAGCUCUUUCGGCAGGAACGAUAAUGACGGUACCUGAAGAAGAAGCUGCGGCUAACUACGUGCCAGCAGCCGCGGUAAUACGUAGGCAGCAAGCGUUGUUCGGAGUUACUGGGCGUAAAGAGUGGGUAGGCGGUUCUCUAAGUUCGGUGUGAAAUCUCCCGGCUCAACUGGGAGGGUGCGCCGGAAACUGGAGGGCUGGAGUAUGGGAAGGGAAAGCGGAAUUCCUGGUGUAGCGGUGAAAUGCGUAGAUAUCAGGAGGAACACCUGUGGUGAAGACGGCUUUCUGGACCAUCACUGACGCUGAGACACGAAAGCGUGGGUAGCAAACAGGAUUAGAUACCCUGGUAGUCCACGCCCUAAACGAUGCAUACUUGGUGUGAGCCGUUCAUUCGGUUCGUGCCGGAGCUAACGCGUUAAGUAUGCCGCCUGGGGAGUACGGUCGCAAGGCUGAAACUCAAAGGAAUUGACAGGGGCCCGCACAAGCGGUGGAGCAUGUGGUUCAAUUCGACGCAACGCGAAGAACCUUACCUGGGCUCGAACGGCUUCUCAACGGCGGUGGAAAC